rnacentral:rRNA from 1 species
AUGCGGCAAGGGUGCCGCCGUCCUUAUGACAGAGAAAGAGUGGUCCGGGUCCGGCAGUACACGUGGUCCAGCAUGCCGGUGAGGCCUGGACGGGAAGCCGCCAUUCUCCCAAUACCAACAUGCGGAAGAGAAGUAGUUGUUGUCCUUAUGGUGAUAGUACAACGGUAUUAUCGUCCCAGUCUCAGCUCCAAGGCUCCGGUGUGUUUGCUCGACACAUGGAGCUCCGGUUUCUCAGCACGAGUGUCAGAUAAUCAUGUUGGGGAGCAAGAGUUGCCAAUGCCACCAACUCUAGAAGGGUUAGCAUCUUUGAAAGCAAAAUCCACUAAAGGGAAGAAUUGA